rnacentral:rRNA from 1 species
AACGAACGCUGGCGGCAUGCCUAACACAUGCAAGUCGAACGAACCCUUCGGGGUUAGUGGCGCACGGGUGCGUAACGCGUGGGAAUCUGCCCUUUGCUUCGGAAUAACUCAGGGAAACUUGUGCUAAUACCGGAUGAUGUCUUCGGACCAAAGAUUGAUCGGCAAGGGAUGAGCCCGCGUAGGAUUAGGUAGUUGGUGGGGUAAAGGCCUACCAAGCCGACGAUCCUUAGCUGGUCUGAGAGGAUGAUCAGCCACACUGGGACUGAGACACGGCCCAGACUCCUACGGGAGGCAGCAGUGGGGAAUAUUGGACAAUGGGCGCAAGCCUGAUCCAGCAAUGCCGCGUGAGUGAUGAAGGCCCUCGGGUCGUAAAGCUCUUUUACCAGGGAUGAUAAUGACAGUACCUGGAGAAUAAGCUCCGGCUAACUCCGUG